CCUACGGGUGGCAGCAGUGGGGAAUAUUGCACAAUGGGGGAAACCCUGAUGCAGCGACGCCGCGUGAGCGAAGAAGUAUUUCGGUAUGUAAAGCUCUAUCAGCAGGGAAGAAAAUGACGGUACCUGAGUAAGAAGCUCCGGCUAAAUACGUGACAGCAGGCGCGGUAAUACGUAGGGAGCAAGCGUUAUCCGGAUUUACUGGGCGUUAAGGGAGCGUAGGCGGGCUGCUAAGGCAGAUGUGAAAUACAGGGGCCCAACCGCAGGGUUGCAUUGGAAACUGGCAGGCUGGAGUGCCGGAGAGGCAGGCGGAAUUCCUAGUGUAGCGGUGAAAUGCGUAGAUAUUAGGAGGAACACCAGUUGCGAAGGCGGCCUGCUGGACGGUGACUGACGCUGAGGCUCGAAAGCGUGGGGAGCAAACAGGAUUAGAUACCCUUGUAGUC
rnacentral:rRNA from 1 species